rnacentral:rRNA from 1 species
CCCUUAGAUAUUCUGGGCUGCACGCGGGUUACAAUUAAAAUUGUAUGUUGUUUUGUAUUUUUAAUGAAAUUAUGAAAUCGAUAGUAUUUUACUGAUUUAGAAUUGUUUAUUGUUAUAAUAAAUAUGAAUUUGGAAUUACUUGUAAAUAUAUUUAAUCAAAUUAUAUUGAAUAAGUCCCUGCCUUUUGUACACACCGCCUGUCGCAUCUAGUGAUUAGUUUAAUUUGUGAAAAUGUUUUGUGAUAAUAGAAUUGUAUAUUUUUUAACGGAUUAAACCAGAACCAGAUCAAGUCAUAAC